rnacentral:lncRNA from 1 species
AUGGCGGAGGGGGAAGAACGGCUAAACCGAACAGUGUUAUUUUAACUUGUUGAAACUCAUCUCUAAAAUAAUUAAAACUAGUUGCAAAGAUUCAAUUAUAUGACAGAUUUAAAGCUGUACUUCCCCAUCUCUAUAAGGCUGCUACUUUUUAUGUUAUUAAUUUACUGAAACUAAAAUGGCUAUUCACAGUGUCACUGUCAUUGUGAUACAUAUACAUCUAUACGGUAUCGAUAUUAGUUCCUUGUUACUUGAACAUUACAUUGUUUCAUUACAGUUGAUGAAAUCCAUGAUAUGAAGGCCGAGGGUCAAGAUUCAGAAACUGGAAUGAAGCCUGGUAAGACAGUUUGGUAUCUGGCAGUGAAAGGGAAUCCUGGACCUGCAGAUGUUUGUGAAUGAUAUUUCCCAAAAUGCUCAGCCCACCUCUAGGACCAUUAGAGUACACAAACAUCCUGAGGACCACCAAGACUGACCUUUGUUCCUAAACGGAAUUUCACCUGGAAAGUCGAUACAAUAGAUUAGAAGUCAUCUCACUGCCCCAUAAUUGCCUUCAUAAAGUGUAUGCCAACUGGCAAUCUGGCUAGAAUUAAUCAAAAUUCCACAGAUUUAGUGGAAUAUCAGUCAAGGACAAUCAAUAAAAUAUCUGGAGAAAAUGAUAAUGUAAAGACUAGGACAUCCCUGCCUUGACAGAUAAUACAAGAAUGCAUGCCGAAUAAUGAAUGCAUACAUUAACAGUCAAUACAGAACAAUGUAUACGGUUUUAUUCUUCUGAAGUUUGCAAAUAUGGAAUGUUGACACUUUAUAUCCUGUUAAAUUGUACGGGUGUUCUAUAUUACAAUAAUGUGUGUACUGUUCUUCAUUAAUCUCUUUUACUUUUUUUCUUGCAGGAAUUCUAUAACUGUUGCCAACAUUGAAGACAUCAACCAAUGUUGACUUUCUCCAUUUAAAUACUCAAGCAUUCUGUUCUGAUUGUAAUGGAUUGCAACUUCCCAAAACGCUGGCUAGCACUGGGUUACAAAUGAUUAAUUAGUGUCGUUAUUUUUCUGUUAAUGCUCGAGAAAGGAAUGGUCGACCGCCGUAGUAUUGUCUAGUAUUACAGAUCCAAUGGUGCUUCAAGCAUUAAAGCCCGAUAAUUAAGUAAAAAAUAAGAAAUUCAUUCUUGAAAUAUCACAUAUUUACUUAACUGUGAUUCCUUUAAAAAAUGUAAAGUAGUACAAUAGUUUGUUCUAUGAAAGCAUUAAAUGUGUUGUGAUAUUUCUUUAUAUAAUUAUAAAACAACAUGUCUUUCAGACCAAAGAUGUCCAAACUCCACCUAGGUGUUCAACUACAUUUCUCCUAGGAUUGUAGUAGCCAACUUUAAUUUCAC